rnacentral:lncRNA from 1 species
CAGGACAUGAAUCAUCCCUUUGUCCAAAAUAUACAUGCUGUAUACGCUGCCAGCCCAUGAGCUGCUUAUUAGACAUCCUGGUAGUCAGAUCUGCUGUUGUGGUGUAUAAUGCUUGUGUUCCAGUAACCCUUAUUUUACUUUGGGACCAUUAUUGUCCCAAAGCACAAGAGUAAUGAAACUGGAAAUUUGUGUAUGUCAAAGAGAAGCCCUGAAGUGCUUUCUUUAAGUAGAAAUGUGAAAAUUUAUCAUAGGAAUGUAUUAAGGGGGAUAAACACGGUACAGUAUGUAUAGGGUUUGGAACUAGCCUCUGUUUCAGGAAUCCACUGAGGGUCUUGGAAUGGAUCCUGUGUGGCUAAUGAGGGACUCCUGUCAUUCAAUUAGACUGCUUUUAUAACUAUUAGAUUAGAUCACACCAAGAGAAUAAGGAGCAAUGAACAUUUAGUAAGAGGGCAAAAGUAAGAGAGGUUCAGGGAAGCCAGAAGACCUGAGAGCACUGGAAUCCUAGGUAGGGAUGAAGAGGGAUGGAGUCAGAAAGUAAGUAAACAAAGGUGGAAAAAUACCAAAAAUAGGUAUUAUUUCUUUCUUUCCCUUAUGGUCUUUUCUGGGCUACUUACAUCCCACUUUUCCCCCCUACUCUUGUCCCUGUCUCAUUGUGGUAGAAGUAAAAACCAAACUAGCAUCUUUUUUCCCCCCAAAUGUGCUGUAACCAAUUUAUUACAAAGAAUAUAUUAAAGGGUACAAAUAACAGCUGGAUGAUGAAAUACAAAGGGUGAGUUUGAAUGGGUCCUGAGCACAGGAUCUUCUGAGCCCAUGGAGUUCUGGGGUGUGCCACUCACGUAUCUCAUGAAUGCAUUCUUGUCUGCUAACUGGGAAAUUUGCUGAGCCUCAUCCUUUUGGGUUUUUUGG